AGCUCCAAUAGUGUAUAUUAAAUUUGUUGCAGUUAAAAAGUUCGUAGUUAGACUUAGGAAUGUUAGAUUUUUAAUCAUCUAUGCACUGUCGUAGUAUGUUAAUCUAACUUCCCUCUACUUAAUUAUGUACAAGAAGAUCCUUAAUAAGGAUGUCUUGAGUUAUACAUAUUAGGUAUUUUACUUUGAAAAAAUUAGAGUGUUCAAAGCAAGCGUAAAAAUUUGCACUGAAUAUAUUAGCAUGGGAUAAUAAAACAAGACUUGUAUCUUAUUUCGUUGGUUCAUUAAGAUAUGAGUAAUGAUUAAUAGGGACAGUUUGGGUGAGUAGUACUUAAUCGUCAGAGGUGAAAUUCUAAGAUUGAUUAAAGACUAACUACUGCGAAAGCAUCUCACAGGGAUGUUU
rnacentral:rRNA from 1 species